rnacentral:rRNA from 1 species
UGAAGUCGGAAUUGCUAGUAAUGGCAGGUCAGCAUACUGCCGUGAAUACGUUCCCGGGCCCUUGUACACACCGCCCGUCACACCAUGAGAGUUGGAGAUACCCGAAGCCUAUGAGCUAACUUUUAGAGGCAGCAGUCGAAGGUAGAAUCAAUGAUUGGGGUGAAGUCGUAACAAGGUAGC